AGUCCGUGGAGCACCCCUUUCAUUGCCUCAGGGAAAAGAUCGGGCGUGCUCACGAUCCCCCUAACCCAUGGCUUAAACACCCGCUUCCUAAGCCUGGGUGAAAAAAUAAACACUCAGAGGUGAAGUCACCCAAGAACCCUCACCUAGUACUUCCUAAGGGUGGCUACUCCAAUGUAGCUGUAGUAUAUGUACUGAAGGAAGAUCCUCUCAUACUGCCACAGCCAACAGAUAAAGUUGUGAAUCUUUUUUGGGAGAAGCCGUUAAGGACAGGUCUGUGAAAUGGAAGGAUCUCUGGAUCACUACAAAGUCUGGCUCAGUGACUAUGGCUUUGCAAACACUAAACAUUCCUAUCUCAAGUCCUGUAGAUGGCUUGAAAUAGCAUACAUAAGCAUGCCUUAUAAACAUCUUCAGUCUUUAUCAACUCUUUGGAGAUUCAGCCAUUCUUUUUUGUACUUUAGGGAAUUAAAUAAUUUUAUAAUGUGGUAUAAAUCUGAGCAUGGCAGAUGGUAGAAGAAAUUUUGUCAUAUAUUUUUAAAGAAAUAAAAAUGUAUUAUGUUUUAAAAUUCCUUUAACUGUUUUUCUUACAAAGCUCCCAACAACGUAGUUACCAAGUAAACUAUCUCAGAUGUGAUUUUUCAGUCUUUGCUAAUCUGUUUAUAAAAUCUUUUGCUAUUUUA